rnacentral:rRNA from 1 species
AGAGAAUCUUCGGCAAUGGACGGAAGUCUGACCGAGCAACGCCGCGUGAGUGAAGAAGGUUUUCGGAUCGUAAAGCUCUGUUGUAAGAGAAGAACGAGUGUGAGAGUGGAAAGUUCACACUGUGACGGUAUCUUACCAGAAAGGGACGGCUAACUACGUGCCAGCAGCCGCGGUAAUACGUAGGUCCCGAGCGUUAUCCGGAUUUAUUGGGCGUAAAGCGAGCGCAGGCGGUUAGAUAAGUCUGAAGUUAAAGGCUGUGGCUUAACCAUAGUACGCUUUGGAAACUGUUUAACUUGAGUGCAAGAGGGGAGAGUGGAAUUCCAUGUGUAGCGGUGAAAUGCGUAGAUAUAUGGAGGAACACCGGUGGCGAAAGCGGCUCUCUGGCUUGUAACUGACGCUGAGGCUCGAAAGCGUGGGGAGCAAACAGGAUUAGAUACCCUGGUAGUCCACGCCGUAAACGAUGAGUGCUAGGUGUUAGACCCUUUCCGGGGUUUAGUGCCGUAGCUAACGCAUUAAGCACUCCGCCUGGGGAGUACGACCGCAAGGUUG